rnacentral:rRNA from 1 species
GCGAUACACCGCAAGUGACUGAGCGAAAGCAUUAAGUAAUCCACCUGGGGAGUACGUCGGCAACGAUGAAACUCAAAGGAAUUGACGGGGGCCCGCACAAGCGGAGGAACAUGUGGUUUAAUUCGAUGAUACGCGAGGAACCUUACCUGGGUUUAAAUGGGGAGUGACAGCUGUCGAGAGAUGGUUUUCUUCGGACACUCUUCAAGGUGCUGCAUGGUUGUCGUCAGCUCGUGCCGUGAGGUGUCGGGUUAAGUCCCAUAACGAGCGCAACCCCUAUUGGUAGUUACCAGCACGUGAAGGUGGGGACUCUGCCAAGACUGCCGGUGUAAACCGCGAGGAAGGUGGGGAUGACGUCAAAUCAGCACGGCCCUUACAUCCAGGGCUACACACGUGUUACAAUGGCCGGUACAAAGGGCAGCUACCCCGCGAGGGGAUGCGAAUCUCGAAAACCGGUCCCAGUUCGGAUCGAAGUCUGCAACCCGACUUCGUGAAGCUGGAUUCGCUAGUAAUCGCGCAUCAGCCAUGACGCGGUGAAUACGUUCCCGGGCCUUGUACACACCGCCCGUCAAGCCAUGGGAGCCGGGGGUACCUGAAGUACGUGACCGCGAGGAGCGUCCUAGGGUAAAACUGGUGACAUGGGGCU